rnacentral:rRNA from 1 species
AGAGUUUGAUCCUGGCUCAGAACGAACGCUGGCGGCAGGCUUAACACAUGCAAGUCGAACGCCCCGCAAGGGGAGUGGCAGACGGGUGAGUAACGCGUGGGAACAUACCCUUUCCUGCGGAAUAGCUCCGGGAAACUGGAAUUAAUACCGCAUACGCCCUACGGGGGAAAGAUUUAUCGGGGAAGGAUUGGCCCGCGUUGGAUUAGCUAGUUGGUGGGGUAAAGGCCUACCAAGGCGACGAUCCAUAGCUGGUCUGAGAGGAUGAUCAGCCACAUUGGGACUGAGACACGGCCCAAACUCCUACGGGAGGCAGCAGUGGGGAAUAUUGGACAAUGGGCGCAAGCCUGAUCCAGCCAUGCCGCGUGAGUGAUGAAGGCCUUAGGGUUGUAAAGCUCUUUCACCGGAGAAGAUAAUGACGGUAUCCGGAGAAGAAGCCCCGGCUAACUUCGUGCCAGCAGCCGCGGUAAUACGAAGGGGGCUAGCGUUGUUCGGAAUUACUGGGCGUAAAGCGCACGUAGGCGGAUAUUUAAGUCAGGGGUGAAAUCCCAGAGCUCAACUCUGGAACUGCCUUUGAUACUGGGUAUCUUGAGUAUGGAAGAGGUAAGUGGAAUUCCGAGUGUAGAGGUGAAAUUCGUAGAUAUUCGGAGGAACACCAGUGGCGAAGGCGGCUUACUGGUCCAUUACUGACGCUGAGGUGCGAAAGCGUGGGGAGCAAACAGGAUUAAUACCCUGGUAGUCCACGCCGUANACGAUGAAUGUUAGCCGUCGGGCAGUAUACUGUUC